UGCUUGUAGUCAAACUCAAGACUCAAACUCCAGUAUGAAUAACUCACCAGGUGUGAAGUAUUAAAGGACUCUCAGCUAUUUGGAAAGCAAGCUUGCUUCAAUUUUUAUUACAGACUCCCAGACAGACCCAUACUUAAAACAGGGCUGAAUUACACUCAUUUUUAGCCAGAAUCACCCUAUUUUGAGGGAAUGGAGUUUACUCAGGGAACAUAUGCAAAUUAUAUCAAAUUGCCGACUUUUAAAAAGAGAAAGAAGGUCAAUUCAUACAAUCACAUGAAUGAAACGGAAAUAUUUUUUUCAGAAAACUUAAAUGGAUGAAUGUUGGCCUCCUUAAGUGACCCAUUCAUUUGUAUUGGUUUCAUGAAUUGAUUCGUGUUCCCUAUUAAUAAAAUCACAUACACGUGGAGAAGACAUAAAGAGUUAAGUUUACAGAAUGUGGGUUACAAACCAAGAGGUGAAAUUUGGUUUUUGAUGAGAUUAAUUGCCAUGUUUGAAUGUAUAUCAUAUGUUCCAUAUGUUGAGGAUGUGGGCUUUGGAUUAGAAGGAAAGCCUCACUUAAUUUCAGUUGGCUUGAAGACUUGCAUAAAUGAAUGAGAACUUAUUUUUUUGUAAUUGCUUUCCAUGUGCCCCACUUAGCUGGUGAAACAAUCAUUUUAAAGGUGCAUACAUAUUGUAGAUAUAAAUAUAGUUAUGAAGUAAUUGUUCUAUUUGACAUAACAGUGCCUAUUUACAGUACUGGACCAGGAUGGCACCAGCAGAACUGUGUGUGUGAAAGCCAAAGUGACUGCAAGGCAGGAGAUGGUGACAGUAGCAUGGAAAGAAAAAAGAAGUGCAGCCUUUUAUUAGGGUGGAGUGCCUCCUUUCCUAAAGACGUGCUCAGGUUCACUGGCUUCAGUAAAGAGAAGCUGUGUCUUUCAUCCAUUUGAGUGCUGAACAGCCAUGGCACAUCCCUGCAGUAGGUGCAUAAGAGAUGAUCAGGGUGCCUUUCAUCUGUCCUCCAAGAAGAGACAAAUACCUUUUUUAUAAUGCUGAAAUAAGAACCUCAAAUAGAACUCAGCACAAAGCCAAAAUAGGGCCUUGUUGGUAGGUACACUUAUUUCCUCGCAGCGUCAACAGUGUUUGAGUCUUGGGUUUGAUGUUUUAAUUGUUUAAUAUUUUUUUUUUUAUAACAGCCCUCCUUUACGACUUGCCUUUUAUUUUGCAUAUUUGUUUGCAGUGAUGCUAUCUCCAUCUGUGUUGCAAAGCUCACUUUUCUGCAGCUUCUCUGUGAUUUCCCAGCUGUCCUGUUAUUUCCCACCUCAUGCUUUUCUUUUCAGCUGAACCUUAUUCACAGUGAAAUCAGUAAUUUAGCCGGCUUCGAGGUGGAGGCCAUUAUCAAUCCUACCAAUGCUGACAUUGACCUUAAAGAUGACCUAGUUGCAAGUUGUACAGGCUGACAUUGCCACGAUCGACAGUGAUGCUGUCGUUCACCCGACAAACUCUGACUUCUACACCGGUGGUGAAGUAGGAAGCACUUUGGAAAAGAAAGGUGGCAAGGAGUUUGUGGAAGCUGUCAUUGAGCUUCGGAAAAAGAACGGGCCCUUGGACAUAGCUGGAGCUGUUGUCAGUGCUGGCCAUGGAUUGCCUG